rnacentral:rRNA from 1 species
UGGGGAAUUUUGGACAAUGGGCGAAAGCCUGAUCCAGCAAUGCCGCGUGUGUGAAGAAGGCCUUCGGGUUGUAAAGCACUUUUGUCCGGAAAGAAAUCCUUGGCUCUAAUACAGUCGGGGGAUGACGGUACCGGAAGAAUAAGCACCGGCUAACUACGUGCCAGCAGCCGCGGUAAUACGUAGGGUGCAAGCGUUAAUCGGAAUUACUGGGCGUAAAGCGUGCGCAGGCGGUUUGCUAAGACCGAUGUGAAAUCCCCGGGCUCAACCUGGGAACUGCAUUGGUGACUGGCAGGCUAGAGUAUGGCAGGAGGGGGGUAGAAUUCCACGUGUAGCAGUGAAAUGCGUAGAGAUGUGGAGGAAUACCGAUGGCGAAGGCAGCCCCCUGGGCCAAUACUGACGCUCAUGCACGAAAGCGUGGGGAGCAAAACAGGAUUAGAUACCCUGGUAGUCCACGCCCUAAAACGAUGUCAACUAGUUGUUGGGGAUUCAUUUCCUUAGUAACGUAGCUAACGCGUGAAGUUGACCGCCUGGGGAGUACGGUCGCAAGAUUAAAACUCAAAGGAAUUGACGGGGUCAUAGCUGUUUCCU